rnacentral:rRNA from 1 species
CCUACGGGAGGCAGCAGUGGGGAAUAUUGCGCAAUGGGCGAAAGCCUGACGCAGCGACGCCGCGUGAGGGAUGAAGGUCUUCGGGUCGUAAACCUCUGUCAGCAGGGAAGAACGGUCACUGUGCUAAUCAGCAGUGAAUUAACGGUACCUGCAAAGGAAGCACCGGCUAACUCGGUGCCAGCAGCCGCGGUAAUACGGAGGGUGCGAGCGUUAAUCGGAAUUACUGGGCGUAAAGCGCUCGUAGGCGGUAUGUCAAGUCAAGGGUGAAAGCCCCGCGCUCAACGUGGGAACUGCCUUUGAAACUGGCAAACUGGAGUGUGGGAGAGGAUAGUGGAAUUCCAGGUGUAGGAGUGAAAUCCGUAGAUAUCUGGAGGAACAUCAGUGGCGAAGGCGACUAUCUGGCACAUAACUGACGCUGAGGAGCGAAAGCGUGGGUAGCAAACAGGAUUAGAUACCCCUGUAGUC